UAAUAAGUGUUUUAUGGCACUUUUUAAAUCCAUAUCCACCUUGUGUGCAAUGUCAGUCGAUCUUCUUCAUGGAGAUCGACCAAACAUCAACCUUUAUCUUUUAACUCUUUGUCUGGAAAAUAUUAUGAAUAAACAAUUCAAAAUA
rnacentral:misc_RNA from 1 species